ensembl:piRNA 21ur-2713 ncRNA
UGAUGACUCUGUAACGUCGCA